UACGAAGCAAGCGACAAGAUGAGUAAGUCUUGCGUGGCCUUAAGAGAGUUAUCGGUUGGUGAAAGAUAACGGCGGCGCAGUGCUGAAUAUGGUCUUGAUAAUCGCUCUACUGCUGAGCCAGUUGGCUAGGUGGUGGCGGGAACUCCCGUUAUAGAGUUAGGGUAUGCACUGAUAGCAGUAAGUACUGAACCGCCGUUAGUUAGUACCCGAUGAGGAAUAUUUCCGCGAGGGGUAUUCGAACUAAGGUGGCAGCACGAUUAAAUCGUCCUUUUA
rnacentral:ncRNA from 1 species